UACGGAGGGUGCAAACGUUGCCCGGAAUCAUUGGGCGUAAAGCGCACGUAGGCGGUCCGUUAAGUCGGAUGUGAAAUCCCUCGGCUCAACCGAGGAAGUGCAUUCGAAACUGCCAGACUUGAAUAUGGAAGAGGGUCGCGGAAUUCCCGGUGUAGAGGUGAAAUUCGUAGAUAUCGGGAGGAACACCAGUGGCGAAGGCGGCGACCUGGGCCAAUAUUGACGCUGAGGUGCGAAAGCGUGGGGAGCAAACAGG
rnacentral:rRNA from 1 species